rnacentral:rRNA from 1 species
CGCUGGCGGCGUGCUUAACACAUGCAAGUCGAACGAUGAAGCCGGAGCUUGCUCUGGUGGAUUAGUGGCGAACGGGUGAGUAACACGUGAGUAACCUGCCCUUGACUCUGGGAUAAGCGUUGGAAACGACGUCUAAUACCGGAUACGAGCUAGGACCGCAUGGUCACUAGCUGGAAAGAAUUUCGGUUGAAGAUGAUCUCGCGGCCUAUCAGCUUGUUGGUGAGGUAAUGGCUCACCAAGGCGACGACGGGUAGCCGGCCUGAGAGGGCGACCGGCCACACUGGGACUGAGACACGGUCCAGACUCCUACGGGAGGCAGCAGUGGGGAAUUUUCCGCAAUGGGCGAAAGCCUGACGGAGCAAUACCGCGUGAGGGAAGAAUGCCUAUGGGUUGUAAACCUCUUUUUUCAGGGAGGAAUAAAAUGACGUGUACCUGAAGAAUAAGCAUCGGCUAACUCCGUG